rnacentral:lncRNA from 1 species
AAAAAUAGAGCUGUUUUUCUUUGCUGAUCCGUGGUUAAGUGGCAAAACCAGAAAUCAGUGUUAAUACAAAAAAUAAACACCCAUUUAACCUUUGCUGUAGUUGUUGUUCUGCUCAUCUGGUAUAAAUUAAAAAAAAAAUAAUAAUCUUUUGGGGGCUGUGAUUGUUUUAACCUGCCAGUAACCCCCUUGAGUUCAUCAGAGCAAAAGACAGCUAAAGCCUGUUUAUUGUCCAGCAGGCACCUACACGUGUUGUAAGCGAAGUUCCAUCUGGUCACAACAUCGUGGAUCAUCUGGGUAACAGCCAGGCUUCAUUUGCUUCAUGUCCUGGACAGCAUGGAGGCAGCCGAAUAGGAAUAUUUAAAUGACUGACCAACCGCAACCGAGUUUGCCCCUGAGGAUUCAUCUAAUAAUGGCUCCUCACUAUGGAGCAGUAGUGGCUCUGCGAAUUGUUUUCUUUUUCAAAUGACUCAAGCUAGCCUCUGUGGAAUGAUUUAGCCUUUUUAUUAGGUGCUGACAAUUUACUGGAGAUACGUUCUGGCUCUUACCUUGGGACAUGUGGAGGCGGAUAUUGGCUGUGCCUGAAAUCCUUUCUGAAACCUGUCUGUAAGUGAAAAACAGAAGAAACCCGGACUGCACGGCACAGCUGUUACUCUGGGCCUGACAGGGUGCUUGUAUACAGGGUGUAUUUCACACCUAUGCAGAAGUACAUACAGUGCUACCACAUCACAUUUUUCCAGGCAUUUGAAAUCAUUCGCACCUGCUUCACACAAGGGCAAAAGACAGAGAAAGUGGAUGCACCACUUAGUUGUGCUUAACCCAUGAGCUGAGCACCUCAGAGAGACCUUUGGCAUUGGUGGCAGCAGCGGAUGGGCAGGGACUCCUACCGAAGAGCUGGCAGUGCUGGCCGCAGCCCCUGGGGGAUGUCCUGCUGCCAGGUGUAUGUUCCCCUUAGAAAACUCUGUUCUGCAGAACUAGAGGACAUUGGUAUUUUGCAGUGUUCCAAGUGUUAAACAGCCUGCAGUG